AAACGACUCUCGGCAACGGAUAUCUCGGCUCACGCAUCGAUGAAGAACGUAGCAAAAUGCGAUACUUGGUGUGAAUUGCAGAAUCCCGUGAACCAUCGAGUUUUUGAACGCAAGUUGCGCCCAAAGCCAUUCGGCCGAGGGCACGUCUGCCUGGGCGUCACGCA
rnacentral:rRNA from 8 species